rnacentral:misc_RNA from 1 species
UCCGGUUUGUCACCGGCAGUCUCCUUAGAGUGCCCUUGCGUAGCAACUAAGGACAAGGGUUGCGCUCGUUGCGGGACUUAACCCAACAUCUCACGACACGAGCUGACGACAGCCAUGCAGCACCUGUGUUCCGGUUCCCUUUCGGGCACAACCGCCUUUCAGCAGCCUUCCGGACAUGUCAAGGGUAGGUAAGGUUGUUCGCGUUGCAUCGAAUUAAACCACAUGCUCCACCGCUUGUGCAGGCCCCCGUCAAUUUCUUUGAGUUUUAACCUUGCGGCCGUACUCCCCAGGCGGAUAACUUAACGCGUUAGCUGCGCCACUGACCGGUAAACCGGCCAACGGCUAGCAUCCAUCGUUUACGGCGUGGACUAC